rnacentral:rRNA from 1 species
GAUGAACGCUGGCGGCGUGCCUAAUACAUGCAAGUCGAGCGAACAGACGAGGAGCUUGCUCCUCUGACGUUAGCGGCGGACGGGUGAUUAACACGUGGAUAACCUACCUAUAAGACUGGGAUAACUUCGGGAAACCUGAGCUAAUACCGGAUAAUAUAUUGAACCGCAUGGUUCAAUAGUGAAAGACGGUUUUGCUGUCACUUAUAGAUGGAACCGCGCCGCAUUAGCUAGUUGGUAAGGUAACGGCUUACCAAGGCGACGAUGCGUAGCCGACCUGAGAGGGUGAUCGGCCACACUGGAACUGAGACACGGUCCAGACUCCUACGGGAGGCAGCAGUAGGGAAUCUUCCGCAAUGGGCGAAAGCCUGACGGAGCAACGCCGCGUGAGUGAUGAAGGUCUUCGGAUCGUAAAACUCUGUUAUUAGGGAAGAACAAAUGUGUAAGUAACUAUGCACGUCUUGACGGUACCUAAUCAGAAAGCCACGGCUAACUACGUG